UUUUGGAACGCACGUAAACGAUGUGUAUGCAAGUGGAGAUGCUUUACCAUCAACUCGAUGACUUAAUUUCAAUUUAAAUAUUGAAGCGGACGAACUUAAGAAGACACCUAGAAGACAUCUCGUGGGUUGACCCAGUUUCUCCCAUGAACGUGUAUUCCAUUGACCCAGGAUCGUUGCCAGGCAACAGCACACCAUGGACUUUGGACACUUUGGCAGAAGUGCAACAAUUUUAACCCUCAAGGAGGAUCUUUCGUUUCGAUAGGUUGAGGAACUCCGCGAGGGUGGAGAGAACGAGAAUAGAAGAGCGUAUGAAGCGUCUACUCUGAUUCACUUCUCAGUCGAAGGCAC